CUCGUUCUCCUCGGACCUCCGUAGCCAUAUCACUUGUAUAAAAUAGGCUGAGAUAUAGUGACUGUAAGCUGUGAUCUCAGUAUUCAAAGUGUCAGCGUGCUUGAAGCAGCAGCCUGCAUGUGUGGACUUUCAUCAGUGCCUCGCCCAGAGAUGCCUGGCCUUCAUCCAAAGGGACCCUGCUGCUCCGAGCCCUGCGAGCAGCACCCACACUGCGGCUCCUUUGUGUUGAGUAUGUUGGACUCUGCCAUAGACUCCUUGUCUGGCUGCUGCAGUUUGUAAUGCCUUGACAUGUUGCAUUUCUUUCCCAUUUGGACUAAUAAAAAUAAACGCUAUGUGUAAAAUA